rnacentral:rRNA from 1 species
AUUGAACGCUGGCGGAAUGCUUUACACAUGCAAGUCGAACGGCAGCACGGACUUCGGUCUGGUGGCGAGUGGCGAACGGGUGAGUAAUGUAUCGGAACGUGCCCAGUCGUGGGGGAUAACGUAGUGAAAAUUACGCUAAUACCGCAUACGAUCUAUGGAUGAAAGCGGGGGAUAGCAUGACCUCGCGCGAUUGGAGCGGCCGAUAUCAGAUUAGGUAGUUGGUGGGGUAAAGGCCCACCAAGCCAACGAUCUGUGGCUGGUCUGAGAGGACGACCAGACACACUGGAACUGAGACACGGUCCACACUCCUACGGGAGGCGGCAGUGGGGAAUUUUGGACAAUGGGCGAAAGCCUGAUCCAGCCCUUCCGCGUGCAGGAUGAAGGCCCUCGGGUUGUAAACUGCUCUUGUACAGAACGAAAAGGUUUCUACUAAUACUAGGAGCUCAUGACGGUACUGUAAGAAUAAGCACCGGCUAACUACGUGCCAGCCGCCGCAGUAA